ACCUGUGAAGGAGAAGAGAAAGUGACAGGAUAAGAGCAGAGACAGGGCCACAGCUGCUCUUCCACUCCCCAAUGCCUGGCACUCCAGUCCCUUCAUUCGUUCCUAAGGCUUAGAGCUUAGCUCCAAAUCACACUGCAAGUGUUUGGGUGCCAAAUGUGUCCGGGGGAUGAAUAAAGCGGGCAGAGAUUCAGAAAAUUCUGGGCCUGAGGCUCAAUGGUUGAAUACCUGUAGCACAUACAAGGCCCCAGGUCCAACCAUUAGUACUGCAAAAACAUUAAACAAAACAAAAAACGACAGCUGAAAUGAGAUGUUAAAUCACAACAGAUUUUGGCUAUGGUGGAGAGGGAGGACUCAGUGGGGGAGGACCAUGGAAUGUCCUGGAGAAAGUACACUUCGCCAAAGCACCCUGGAGGGGCAAUGCAGUAUGAGCUAAAGACCGAUACUUAGAUUCAGACUGGGAGGGCAAAUCCCAGCUUUGCCACUUUUCGAUGAAUGAAUCUGAAAGUCUUACCUUCGUGCCUUCACCUCCCAGUCUAUGAAUCGAGGUUCACCACCAUGUCUGUGUUAUAGUGUUUUUGCUUGUGGUAAAAGAAUUACUAUACUUGAUAUAUUCAGAACAGUGUUAGCAUAUAGAAAAUGCCAAAAAAAAAGAGGGAUAUUAAUUUCUAGGAUACCAGAAAUUUCAAGAAAAGAACGUGUACCUUCAAUGCAAAAUUGCCUCACCUUUUUUUUUUUUUCUUUUUGAGAUAAGGUCUCCUGUUGCUUAUAUUCAUCUGGAAUUUGCUAAAUAGCCCAGGUUAGACAGCGACAGACAAUCCUACUUUAGCCUUCUGAGUGCUUUUGCAGGAAUAAACCUCCUCUAGUUUUAUUUUAUUUUGUUUUUGUUGAAGUCUCCCUCCGACCUCAAGCAUAGCUGUAGCCAUUUUGUUCCAUGCCGGCCACAAGACGUUUUCUGACCUACAGAUUCACAUGGUAACAUGGGCACACCCUCACACAGGCACACACAAAAUAAACGAGUGAGGAAUAGCAUGAUUUGUCCCCCCACCCCACCCCCUGAGAGGGUUUCUCUGUGUAGCCCUGGCUGUCCUGGAACUCCCUGUGUAAACCAGGCUGGCCUCAAACCCAGAGAUCAGCCUGCCUCUGCCUUUCAGUUGCUGGGAUCAAAGGUAUGGCCGCCAUUGCCCAGCACGGAUCUGGUUUUACAGCAGGUGAGUGUCAUUUGGCCUACAUCCUGCAUAACUUUUAAGAAGGGACAAAUAAUGUUGUUAUUACAGAAGUGGACUAGUUGAAGGGGGUUGAUGCCUGAUAAAAUUGAUUUUAAACCUUAUUGCACGAUGCCCUGUGCCAGGUUAUGACUGCAUGAAAGCCUCAUCAGAUGCAUCCCUUUGCCUUGACUUUCGAGCCUCCAGAAUGGGGGGAGCCAAAUACUUUUGCUCAUUAUCUCCUGCCCAGAGUGGUCGGCACACUCUCACCUACCAUGUACAUUCUACAUCAGCUUCGGUGUUGAAUAGUUUCUGGAAAUCUCUGCUAGUUAGGAUCGUCGAAAUGGUUUGGCAUAGGCCCUAGCAGUAAUCCCCCAAAAGCAGGUUUUAGGAGAUAGAGAGAUCACUCAGCAGUCAAAAGGAGAACCCGGGUUCAGUUCUCAGCACCGACAUAGGAGUUCACAGCCAUCUGUAACUCCAGUUCCAAGGGCUCUACCAUCUCUUCUGACCUCCCUGGGCAGCAGGCACACACACGGCACACAUACACACACGCAGACAAUACACUAAAUAAAGGGGUAAACAGGAUGGGUUUAAAGUGUGGUUUGAAUGCUGACAGCAUUGUCGGUAUAGCUAUGGCCUCCUGGAGUGGCCACUCUGAAUGGAGCAACAUUUAUCCGGAUAAACACAUUGCCAUGCCUUUAGUAAAACAAUCACUCUCAGUUCUAACAUAACUUGAAUGCGUGCAUGUGCUUUUCUUAAAACCUUGAGUGCUGGCUCCUCCCCAAGCCCCUCUCUUUCGGCAUGAUAUCCCUAUAUCGUCUAGAUAGGCCUGGAACUCACAUUGUACUUCAGACUGGCCGUCAAAUGUCAGCCUGCCCUCUGCGUUACAGGGUGUCCCAAUACCAGCCAUAACUUAAAGUGUUAUUUCUUUUCCUUCAAAAGCAGGACGUCCUGCAUGAUGUGUGCCAAAUGCCACUCAUCGGCUGUAAAGCCAGAUCAAAACCUACUCCCCUCCCCUCUCCUGCCAUUCUCUUGGAUCUCUACCUUUUCACUUGGCUCUUACCUCAGGCUCAGGGCUGUCGGACGCUCUGGAGAGGAGGCUCUCGGUACUAAAACCACUCAACUGAUGUCUCCCUGCAACAACAAAAUGAAUCCAGAAGACAGUGGGCUUUGGAGUGCCCCCCCCCCCCCAUUAUCUCUGCAUGGACGAAUGGGCGUUUUAUGGAGACUGUGAGAACCUGGAAUCCGUGUCUGGCCCUCUGUGGUGAGAGGGUUACCGGACGCUGCUCUGAGACCUGAACACAUUCUAGGGUGUGCCUGUGGAGAAAUCCAUCCCUGGCUUCCAAGGUUGGCAGCAUCGUCUUAUUAAUGUCUUCCCCACCUAUGAGGUAACUGGCUGUCCUCUGCUGCCUACGGCCAAGAGAAGCAGACCCCACACCUAGCUGGCUCCUGACUCUCUGUUCAGAGCUCUCCAGCCCUCACUGAAGGUUCAGAGCACCCAGUGCCGUUCCCCAGCCUGGACACUUAGAGAAAGUUGCAUCUGAAUGGCGAGAGAUGAUGCAUCUUGGGAGUCUAGAGUUUAAAGGGUUAGAAUCCCAUGGAUUAGGAGAAACCUACCCAGCUCUGUCUGCUGCCGGGGCAAGAAGUCAUAAAUAUUUUUGGCUCGCUGCCUGGGUGGAGGCAGAGCCAGUGACGGAGUUACUUGGAGGAUACAGGUAACUAUGACAACCAGGAAGAUGGUCACGAGCACCACAAAACCAGGGAAGAGGAGGUGGCCUUUCUCUCUAGGAGGAAAACCAGGUGUCAUGCUCCAGGUGGCUACAGGAUCUGGGCUUGGGAAUGUUGGAGAAGACAUUUCUUUCAAAUGAUACCAGGGAGGCAAAAAGUCAGAUGCAAGGAAAGAGAGGGAAACCACCCCUGGAUCUUAACUGACUCUCCUGAUGGUCAGAUGCCCCUUUGUGGUUAAACAUUCUUGAAUCCAAAGUUAAGUUGUUUCUGUUAUAUCAGAAACCAAGGCAUUUUCCUAUGCGUGCCCACUCAAGAGACUAAUGUUAAUAUACCGCCUGCAUUAUGAUUUUGAGCUCCUCCACCUAUUGUAGGGAUCACAAGGAAAAAAAAAAUACUCUAAAAGGGAAACCAUGAUGUGGGAAGGAGGUCACGUCACUCUGUGACCCACUACUUCAUACAUGUUCAUAAAAACUUUCUUUAAAUCAACAACGCAACACUCACUGAAUGGCUCCUGGCCUUGGGGCGCUCACUCCAAUCUUUCUUUGGAGUGAUUUUCUUUGUUUAGCUUUGCUAAAUAAACCUUGGUUUAAAUUGUA